CUUUGAUUUGCUGUCCUUUAAUUUUGUCAUGGGUCCUUGUUUAUGGCACCAGGUAGACUGAAAUUUUUUUAGAACAGAGGAUGAAAUUUCCAUUUAACUGUAGCAAGCAUUUUUUUUUAUUUUUAUUUUUUUAAAUUAUUUUAUUGAGGUCAUAUUGGGUUAUAACAUUGUGUAAAUUUCAGGUGUACUUUAUUAUAUCUCAGUUUCUGUAUAGACCACAUUGCCUUCACCACCAAUAGUCUAGCUUUCAUCCCUCACCAUACGUAUGUGCCCCUUUAGCCCUUGCCUCCCUCCACUCCCUCCCCUCUGGUAACCAUGAAUCUGUUCUCUUUAUCUAUGUGCUCGUUUAUCUUCCACAUGAGUGAAAUCAUAUUGUAUUCGUCUUUCUCUUUCUGACUUAUUUUGCUUAGCAUAGUACCCUCCAGAUCCAUCCAUUUUGUCCCAACUGGCACAAUUUUGUCUUUUUUAUGGCUGAGUAGUAUUUCAUUGUAUAUGUAUACCACACCUUCUCUAUCCAUUCAUCCCUUAAUGGGCACUUGGGUUUCUUCCAUGUCUUGGCUAUUGUGAAUAAUGCUAUAAUGAACAUGAACAUGAAGCAAGCAUUUACUGGACAUCAAGUGUAUGCAUGGAAGGAGAAGACUUGGCCUCUGUCCUUUAGGGACUUAUGUAGCUAUGAGACAGGACAAGCACAAAAUGAUGAGGGAAUACGUGCAAAGUAAUGUAGACGAAAGUGAGUGAGAGGGUACAAACUGGCUUCAUAAUUGUAGGAGGCAAGUAAAGCCCAGCUUUGAAUAGAAACUGUCAAGGAAGUCCUGGUAAAGUUGAUGAGUCAGGGGAAAUUUUGCACAAAUACAGGAAACUUGCUGUUCUUCUUGUCUAUUUUGCAGGUCCCCCUUCAGAGGCAGAGGGAAAAAGAGCAAAGAUGGAUGUCAGAAGUGAUAGCUAAAAGAUGCAAUAUCUCUUGCCAUGGUGAAGCACUAACGGUCGGUCAAAUGCUAAGGAAUAUACAGGAUGAGAUCUGAAAAAGAGGAUCACACCAGAACUGAAUGCAAAUUUCAUAGGAAGCUGGAAUAUACUUCAAAUUCUAUUGUACUCAUGAAAUGUGGAGAAUACACGCAUUAAAUCCAGUUAGCAGAACCAGCUGUGUACAUUUGU
rnacentral:lncRNA from 1 species